GAUGAACGCUGGCGGCGUGCCUAAUACAUGCAAGUCGAGCGAACAGACGAGGAGCUUGCUCCUCUGACGUUAGCGGCGGACGGGUGAGUAACGCGUGGAUAACCUACCUAUAAGACUGGGAUAACUUCGGGAAACCGGAGCUAAUACCGGAUAAUAUAUUGAACCGCAUGGUUCAAUAGUGAAAGACGGUUUUGCUGUCACUUAUAGAUGGAUCCGCGCCGCAUUAGCUAGUUGGUAAGGUAACGGCUUACCAAGGCAACGAUGCGUAGCCGACCUGAGAGGGUGAUCGGCCACACUGGAACUGAGACACGGUCCAGACUCCUACGGGAGGCAGCAGUAGGGAAUCUUCCGCAAUGGGCGAAAGCCUGACGGAGCAACGCUGCGUGAGUGAUGAAGGUCUUCGGAUCGUAAAACUCUGUUAUUAGGGAAGAACAAAUGUGUAAGUAACUAUGCACGUCUUGACGGUACCUAAUCAGAAAGCCACGGCUAACUACGUG
rnacentral:rRNA from 1 species